rnacentral:rRNA from 1 species
ACGGGUGCGGAACACGUACAGAACCUUCCUUUAAGUGGGGAAUAGCCCAGGGAAACUUGGAUUAAUACCCCGUAAUAUUAUGAAGUGGCAUCCCUUUAUAAUUAUAGCUCCGGCGCUUGAAGAUGGCUGUGCGGCUGAUUAGGUAGUUGGCGGGGUAACGGCCCACCAAGCCUACGAUCAGUAACUGGUGUGAGAGCACGACCAGUCACACGGGCACUGAGACACGGGCCCGACUCCUACGGGAGGCAGCAGUAAGGAAUAUUGGUCAAUGGACGCAAGUCUGAACCAGCCAUGCCGCGUGGAGGAUGAAGGUCCUCUGGAUUGUAAACUUCUUUUCUCUGGGGCGAAAAAAGCUCAUUCUUGAGCACUUGACAGUACCAGAGGAAUAAGCACCGGCUAACUCCGUGCCAGCAGCCGCGGUAAUACGGAGGGUGCAAGCGUUAUCCGGAUUCACUGGGUUUAAAGGGUGCGUAGGAGGGCAGGUAAGUCAGUGGUGAAAUCCCCGAGCUUAACUUGGGAACUGCCGUUGAUACUAUCUGUCUUGAAUAUUGUGGAGGUAAGCGGAAUAUGUCAUGUAGC